rnacentral:rRNA from 1 species
UAGGGAAUCUUCGGCAAUGGACGAAAGUCUGACCGAGCAACGCCGCGUGAGUGAAGAAGGUUUUCGGAUCGUAAAACUCUGUUGUUAGAGAAGAACAAGGACGUUAGUAACUGAACGUCCCCUGACGGUAUCUAACCAGAAAGCCACGGCUAACUACGUGCCAGCAGCCGCGGUAAUACGUAGGUGGCAAGCGUUGUCCGGAUGUAUUGGGCGUAAAGCGAGCGCAGGCGGUUUCUUAAGUCUGAUGUGAAAGCCCCCGGCUCAACCGGGGAGGGUCAUUGGAAACUGGGAGACUUGAGUGCAGAGGAGGAGAGUGGAAUUCCAUGUGUAGCGGUGAAAUGCGUAGAUAUAUGGAGGAACACCAGUGGCGAAGGCGGCUCUCUGGUCUGUAACUGACGCUGAGGCUCGAAAGCGUGGGGAGCAAACAGG